rnacentral:lncRNA from 1 species
GGACUUCUCGCUGAGCGUGGUUAUGGAGAUGAUGCAGCACCGUCAAGACUACGGGAAAAAGAGCAGCUUCUUCAGAAAGUAGAGAAUGGGGUGGCAAACCUACGUACUAGUGCGUCCAUCGGUCGCUUGUACAGGCAUCAACCUCAGGCUCAGCUGCAAGAGCUCAAGUUCUAAGUCAUAAGCAUGUAUAAAAAAGCGAAGUUGUAGUAAGGCUUACCAGUGAGCGUGAAAGGAGAGCUUUCUGUAUAGCAGCAUAAGAGACUCAAGCUUGUCUUUUGCUUUCGAUCCAUAGCUCCAAUUCGUAACCCCCUCUCGCCUCGCAUGAUGUCGAGCAAUUCACGCGACCAAAAGAAUCAGCGAGCUCCAUCUCUACGAGAAAGCGUACGCAAAACUACUAGCCCCGUACCAUUUUCUUUCUUAGAAUCCGCGUUACACCGAACUUCCCAGAUUCGAACGCUAGAAUUUUCAUGACCGCAUUCCAAAAUCCCAGCAUCCACACGCCCACAUUUCAAGCAGAGGCUCCCGCUGAGCGCAGCGAUCCCUCCCGCGCCUCUUCCCUGUGCCGCUAUCGCUCACCCUAUCGAGAGAGCGCCAUCGCUAAACCCUAGAAACCCUCUAAACCUCGAGCAAUAUAAAAAAAAAAACCAUUUAAUGGAUAUGGUCUAAAGAAUUUCCAGAAAGAUCUUUUCGUUUCUCCUACGGCAUAGUACCACACUCGAUGAUUUCACGUGAAGCGAAUAUACUCGCUUUUCUUUGCUUCUUUGUUUUGCGUAUCCCCGUUCUUCGUCUGGGAUGUU